UUGUCAAUGCCUAGAAGUUACGGAAAGAGAGGACAAUGGAAAGAGGUAAUGGUUUUCGCAGCACAAUAGCGGGUAAAAUAUUGAGCUUCUAGGUUCACUUUCAAUUAUUUCUCUUGGAGUUCUUCAUCUGCUAAGCAAGUGAAUAUGAGACUUGGUGCCUGGUGCAGUGAUUGAAGCUUGGUUGAUAGCUUUUAGUGCGUGGGGUUGAAUAUGAGGGUAGUCAAUUUAUGCAAAUUAUGAUAAAAGGUUAAUUUUUAGCCAAUUCAUCCAUCUUGGUACCUUAAUUAAUAGGGUUUAAAAUUGGUAAUGAACUUUCUUAUGACUUGGGUUGUGAAAAGUAGAAGUACCACAAAUUAUUUAAAGGAUGUGAGAGGUUUUCUAGAGAAUCUUGACCACCCGGCACUAUUUAUGUGUACCUUGAUUAGUAAUGCAUAUAUUGGAAAGCUGCUAACAUUUCAAGAAUAUCUUAAGAGGCAAUAUUUCUAAAAUUUUGGUUUUGCAAUAUCUCCAGUAAAUACUACAGGAGGGAAGAGCAUAAAAGCUCAGAGGGCAAGGCAGGCAAAAAUAUCAGUAGCAAAUCUACUGGUACAAGACAAUAAAAAUAAAUUGGAAAGCAGAUACAAGACAAUAUCAGAGGGCAAGAC
rnacentral:lncRNA from 1 species